AUUGAACGCUGGCGGCAGGCCUAACACAUGCAAGUCGAGCGAGCGGCGGACGGGUGAGGACUGUCUGGGAAACUGCCUGCUGGAGGGGGAUAACACCUGGAAACGGUAGCUAAUACCGCAUACCAUCAGAUGUGCGCAGAUGGGAUUUGCUGGUAGGUGGGGUAACGGCCCACAUAGGCGACGAUCCCUAGAUGGUCUGCGAGGAUGACCAGCCACACGGGAACGGAGACACGGUCCAGACCCCGACGGGAGGCAGCAGUGGGGAAUAUUGCACAAUGGGCGCAAGCCUGAUGCAGCCAUGCCGCGUGUAUGAAGAAGGCCUUCGGGUUGUAAAGUACUUUCAGCGGGGAGGCGUUACCCGCAGAAGAAGCACCGGCUAACUCCGUGCCAGCAGCCGCGGUAAUUC
rnacentral:rRNA from 1 species